rnacentral:misc_RNA from 1 species
AAGUCGUAACAAGGUUUCCGUAGGUGAACCUGCGGAAGGAUCAUUAACGUGUUCGUUCGGCCGUUCGGGUCGGCCCUGCACCGACGGAGACGUCGUGCUGCGGGCUCCCGGACGCGCCUUCCAAACCAAACCCCUGUGAACCUUUGGGAGGGUCGAGCCUUCGCCGGCGACGCCGUCCCCUUUACAAACUCUUGCAUCUCAUAGAAUGACCGCGGACAUCGUCUGCCUAAACACAUAACAACUUUCAACAACGGAUCUCUUGGCUCUC